CUGACUGCCUCCGAAAAAGGAUCUCUUUCUGGAGAUUGGUCUUUGUGAAGUUUGUUGAAAGCCUAUGAUGUUGGUUGUGUGGGCUGUUCAUUGGAAGAGCAACGAAGUGGAUCAGAGGCAGAGCUGACGCUGUUUCUAGAGGGUCUAUGGAGACCAUGGGCUUGAGGGUAGAACAAAGGACUGGAGACUGCAGUUCACAGGGAGGAAGUACUGGAAGAAGAGGUACCGAGAAAACCCACACCUAGAAGUAAAAGAAUGCCUAAGAGGAUCAUUCAGAUUCAUGCAAUCCAGAAAUUCUUGAUAAACUGAAAGUAAGAAAGCAAUGCAGAAGGAAAAUGUGGUUUAUAUGCUUUCAAAAUGUAUGUUUUGCCUUUUCUGUUAGUUUGGGUUUUUUUGACGCUUUCAUUUCUCUAUUUAGAGAGACAAGCAUUCUGCCUCCUUAGAUACUACAUAAAACCUUUUUUUUUUUUCCCACUCUUAUUCAGAGACUUGCGAUUCUUAUUAAAGUCCACUUUUGGCUCAUUACUGAGAUCACUUCAAAUCUGUUGUUGAUAUAUGAUACUAUUAUACAUCACAAGAUCAUUAGCCUAUAACUCUUUCCGUUGUCUAUUCUACAGAUAACCCAAAUAUCAAUAAACCUUAUUCGCGUGAUAAAUAAUAGAAGGACAUAUAUAAGAAACAAAAACAAAUAAAUGACUGUUACAGAUAAAGAUCAACCCAUUUAAAAUUCUUGCUGAUCUUGCGCAUUUCAGCCCUCUGAGUUAUUACAAGGCACAUUCCAAUUUUCCAGUUCUGGUGGCCUGAUCGAUUGUGAGGUUUAAAUCCUGCGGUCCCUCAGACAAGUUAUCGAUGUCUGGGAUUUUAACUCAGUCCAUUCCACUAUUGAAUCAUCAAAAUACUAACAGACUGUUAAUGUAAUGGUUGUAUUGCUCUUUCUUGGAUUAGGAUUAAUAUCAAACUGCAAAGUUUUGCCUCAUCUGCUGUUUUCUGAAUGUGUUCUUGUCAGAAUAAUGCCAGUUGUGAGACAGGGCAAUGUACACUGCCAACGACAAGACAGAAAGUCUUCUAUUUGUUGUAAACUGCAGAGGUAUACAUGUCUAAAGACCAAAUGAGCGUGGCUUAAUAAAACGGAUGGGAAUUUGUAGUCAAGCUGAAACAGGCAAUGGUUGCAUUGGUUGAGUUUCUGUAGCAGUGACUCCCAGAAGAUUUGGGCAUUUGAUGUCAUGCUUAGUGCUUCCAGGCUGCAGGUCAUAGUAUUACUUCAGCUUUCUGCCCUGUGGUGCAUGGUGCUUUCGCUCAGCUCUGCUUUGUCACAGGUUUUUCUUUCCUAAAGGUCCUCCUGACUUGCCUUGGUUUAUUAUGGCUUAUCAUCUUCUCAAGAGUUACUUUUUAUUCUCACUGAAAAGAGAAGUUUUUAUAUCUUCAUUUUUAUGUUUCUAUGGACUCAUGCUGACCUGGAAAUUGAAUGAAAAAUCUGUGAAAUCGCUGACACAGCUUAGUGCAACUUGCUGAAGCUUUGAGAAGCUCUCCACUGCCCAACCCCAAGUCACUAAAACUGCAGUGACCUUUCUCUUCCUCAUAACGUUUGACAUUUUAAACAUUUUGUUUAUGGAUAGACAAUUAGUAAGCAAGACCUAGUAAAUAAUUCCCAGUAAGACAAUUAAGUAGAAAAAGACUUUUCUAGUGAUGCAUGAAAUCUACUUAGUAGAGCUACUGAUU